AACGUAUCUAGUGUAGAGAAUAUGUGGCGGGCUGAAUUAUUAUUAUUAUUUUUUUUUUUUGGGGGGGGGACUAUCUGCACAAACUCAUAGCAAAAUGCUUAAAAGACACUACGAACUCCAGUGUUAACCAGCCACCAUGAGUGUAAAUUGUCUGCCAACCUGGGUGUGAUCCCAUAAAUGUUCCAAUGAAGUCACUCCCAUGUGAGCAGUGCCGGUGGGUCAAGAGGACAGUUAAUUGGUCUGCAAACCUGGAUGUGAACCCCUGAAAAUACAGCAAGUAAUGCCAUUGGGAUCAGGUAAUGGGGCCAAAGACGUUGUGCCAAGGACCGGACUCAAGAACUGAAAUUCACCAAAUGAAUGAUCAGUGACUGACUAAAAAACUAGUUCAAUGCAAACAUUAGAAAAUGUCAAGUUUAAUGGUGUACUUAAAACCAGGAAGUCACAGGGUUCUAAGCCCCACAGUUAAUCAGUGUGAAAGGCUCUUUCUUGAGUGUGUCCAGGAAGAACUGCUUGUCCUGCAGAAAGUCACGAUCCUAAGAAGAUAAAACCAGUACAUGUAUCUACAAUAAAGAUUUGAAACCAA